CUGGGGUGGGGGUGGGGCACUCCCUUGCUGUUCCCUGCCCUGGAGAGGUUACCUCUGGAAGCUGAGAGUGGUAAGAGUCAAGACCUGGUUAGUAUGUGGGAAUGGAACCUUUCUUUUUCAUAUGCACUGUCUGGGGAUCUACUUUGACACCUCCCCUAAGUGUGUGUAGAAUGACUGAAAUCAAGGGUAUAGAGAUAGCUCCUUGAUUUUUUUUUUUACCCACUUAGUGCCUCUAUUUUUCUCCUUUAGGAAGUCAAUCAAUAGUCCCAUUUCCAUGGGUAUGUUUUGGAAGACCCACACACUCUCCUCCACUGGGAGACAGACUGUGCCCCACUUUCUCUGCCUGGAAAACUCGAUGGGAUUUGGGGCUUGCACCCCAGUGGUGCUGCUGAGAGACUUCCCCCAUAGCCCUGGCACUGGCCGGGGUCCUCCCCAACCAGAGGCGCUGUGGAAGGGUUCCCGGCCGGCUUCCUUCUCCCCAGCAGCACUUCAAGGCCUCGCCCCACCAGGGGGGGAGGUGAAGGGGACCAGCUCUUCCAGUGAUGGUCAUAAUGAUGAUGGUGGUGGUGGUGAUGAUGAUGAUGAGGCCCAGUCUUCCCCCACACAAUAAAGAGUAAGGAAGAGGUUUCCCGGGGACAAGUUCCAGCCUAGGAUGCCGGUGGAGGGGGCAGAAGGGGCGGCUCCCCUCACCCUCUUGCCGGUAGGGUUUCCCUAGGGGGUCACUACACGAUCAUUUCAGCAACAGACACUGGAGAGAGAAUAAUCCAGAACCGGUGUGUCCAAGCUGUGCCUGCAAGGAGAGCGUCGGGGGUGCCAGGAGGAAGAGAGACUCAAGGAAAGAGAAAGGCUCUCGAAUACAGAAAGCGCUCAAGUCCUUGGGAUCCGGCUUUGAGUCGAGCCUGCCUGUGUUCAGCAUCCAAGGAGUUCAUUUACCCCCACUGCCUCGCCAAGCACAGGCCUGAGCAUAGGAGAUUGGGUGUCAGUAAGGUUUCCCAGAUUGUAGGGCAGCUUCCCUCCUGAUCUGGUUUCCUUCUUGAGUAAACACUAUGUCCUUGUGUGUUAUAGUGUUCUAAGUACCAUGUCAGCUCCAUGAAAGGAUGGGAUCUUCUCUUUAGGGAAUUUUCCUCUUAAAAAAUGUUCUGUUAAAUGUAGGGGGAAUGCAGGGAACAGCUGGGGAAGAAGCCACCUUUAGAAGAAGAGCUAUAAGGAAAAGUGAAAUAGUCUGUUAGUCUCUCAGAUGUCCUUAAUCGGGAAGCAAAAUCUUUGCCUGGGUAGAGGGCAAGGAGACAGGAUGAUAUAAUAAAAUAACAAAUAACCUUGGUCUUGGAGUCAGGACAUCCAUGGUGGACUUCAGGUUUCAUUCUGACCUUCCUAGUUGUAUGACCCUAAGCAAGUCAUGGUGUUUCUAGGACUCACUUUUUUUUUAAAUCUGGAGAGUGGUGAAUUCUAUAUGUCCUAUGUUAAACUGUGCUUUCUCUUUUGACUCAGUAACACCAUGACUUGGUCUCUAUAACCAAAGAGAAUCAAAGAAAGACAAAAAGAAUCUACGUGUACAAAAGUAUUUAUAGCCGCUUUCUCUAGGAAUAAAAGAACUGGAAAUUAAGGGGUUGCCCAUCAACUUGGGAAUGGCUGAACAAAUUAUAACAUGCCAUUGUGAUACAGUGCUAUUGUGCUAUAAGAAAUGAUGCAGUGGCUGGUUCCAGAGAAUCCUGGGAAGACUUACAUGAACUGAUGCAGAGUAAGGUAAGAAAAACCAGGAGAAGCGUUUAUAGAAUAUAUAAAUACAACAGUAUUGUAAAUACAAAUAACUUUGAAAGAUUGAAGAACGCUCAUCAUGGCAUUGACGACUAUGGUUGCAAAGGGCAGAUAAUGAAGCCUGUCACCUCUUGACAGAGAGGUGAUAGACUCAGGAUGCAGAUUGAGACACUUUUUAAGACAAUGCUGGAAUUUAUUUUGAUUGAUUAUGCAUGUCAUUGGGAUUUUUUUUUCUUUUUAAUGGGGGAGGGAAGGGAAAAGGGAGAAAAGAUGAUUUUUCAAUUAGUUGAAAAAGUUAAAAAAAAAUGUGUCUGAUCUUCCUUACAAGAUUGUUGUAAGGAAAUCACAUUGUAAAUUCUGAAGCGCUAUUGAAAGGGGAACUGUUUCUGUUAAGAUGCCCUGGACAAGUCUGCCUCAGCAGCCAUCCAAGGGCAGAAGGGGUUGUUUCUUCAGGUGGAGAGCUCUCUACCUUGGAGGUCUGCAAGCAGAGAAGGCCAGCUGACCAUUUUUUGGGAGAUAUUGUAGGGCUAAUUCUUGCCUAGCUAGUUAGACUAGAUGGCCUCUGAGUUCAAUAAACUUGGUCCCUUCCAGCCCUAGAAGGCCAGAAAACCAGUGGCCUUGAUUGGGCAAAAACAGUGCUGGGCACAAUACUGGGCAUGAGGCCAGGACCCUGCUACUCUGUGGAAUAGAGACUGUUGGCAGCACCUGGCAUGGAGCCCACCAGGGACGAGGAAGCUCUUGUGUUUUUCUCUUCCUUGGUACUAGCUGCUCCCCUGCCCCCACCGCAGGGAGCCUUAGCCAGUGCACCUGGUACCCAGGGCAAGAGACUAGGUCGGGGUGGGGGCAGAGCCACAGGGUUUUGGUAGGCAUGGUCCUGAGAAGGGUGGGGUAAGGGGGAAUGCCUGGGUUCUGGCAAUGAGAUUGGUGUUAGAGACAAAGGAACUAUAGAAUUCUAAAGCUCAGAGAAAGCUUGGAAAGAAAAUUGAUCUGUACGUCGCAGUCUCCUCACCAGUAAUCUAGACGGUACUUAAUAUCUUCAGGGAUGGGCAAGUCACUACCUCCUGAGGCAACUGGGCCAGGUCUGAUCAUAAAGAAUGUAUUUAUUUAACAUCAGGAUGAAAUCCGACCACCUGUAAUUUUCUCUUAUCUUUCCUAGAUCUGCCUCUGGGCUAAUAUCCCUCAAUUUUCCUCAUACCAUAUAUAUUUGCUUACAUGUUGUAAUGUGCCAUCACCACCCCUGCUCCCAUCUCCCCAGCUCCAAUAGGAUGUUGGAUAUUAUUUCCUGGAGGCAAGGAUCUUUAAUUUAGUUUUGAUUUUAUCUUUGCAUCUGUUGCUAGGGCCUACCACAUAGUAGGCUCUUUAACAUUCUUGGGAUUACACUAGAAUAAAACAAUCUCCUUUCUACACC